GCGACUGUUUACUAAAAACACAGGUCCGUGCGAAGCCGUAAGGCGAUGUAUACGGACUGACGCCUGCCCGGUGCUGGAACGUUAAGGGGACCGGUUAGUCCGCUUGCGGCCGUGCCAACCUGAGAACUGAAGCCCAAGUAAACGGCGGUGGUAACUUUAACCAUGCUAAGGUAGCGAAAUUCCCUGUCGGGUAAGUUCUGGCCUGCACGAAUGGCGUAACGACUUCUCGACUGUCUCAACCAUAGGCCCGGUGAAAUUGCACUACGAGUAAAGAUGCUCGUUUCGCGCAGAAGGACGGAA
rnacentral:ncRNA from 1 species